rnacentral:rRNA from 1 species
UACGGAGGGGGCUAGCGUUGUUCGGAAUUACUGGGCGUAAAGCGCACGUAGGCGGCUUUGUAAGUUAGAGGUGAAAGCCCGGGGCUCAGCUCCGGAAUUGCCUUUAAGACUGCAUCGCUAGAAUUGUGGAGAGGUGAGUGGAAUUCCGAGUGUAGAGGUGAAAUUCGUAGAUAUUCGGAAGAACACCAGUGGCGAAGGCGACUCACUGGACACAUAUUGACGCUGAGGUGCGAAAGCGUGGGGAGCAAACAGG